AGGGAAAUUCGGAGUUUGCAA
rnacentral:rRNA from 1 species